rnacentral:rRNA from 1 species
GUGGGGAAUCUUAGACAAUGGGCGCAAGCCUGAUCUAGCCAUGCCGCGUGAGCGAUGAAGGCCUUAGGGUUGUAAAGCUCUUUCAGCUGGGAAGAUAAUGACGGUACCAGCAGAAGAAGCCCUGGCUAACUCCGUGCCAGCAGCCGCGGUAAUACGGAGGGGGCUAGCGUUGUUCGGAAUUACUGGGCGUAAAGCGCACGUAGGCGGAUCAGAAAGUCAGAGGUGAAAUCCCAGGGCUCAACCUUGGAACUGCCUUUGAAACUCCUGAUCUUGAGGUCGAGAGAGGUGAGUGGAAUUCCGAGUGUAGAGGUGAAAUUCGUAGAUAUUCGGAGGAACACCAGUGGCGAAGGCGGCUCACUGGCUCGAUACUGACGCUGAGGUGCGAAAGCGUGGGGAGCAAACAGGAUUAGAAACCCUUGUAGUCC